AUGAAUCUUGAUAAUGAUGGGACUGGAGAUGAGUCAACUUUAGUUAAGAGGCCUCCCAAUGAUUCAGAGUUUUUAGAUCUUGAUGCAAAAAUUGGUAAAAGUGGGAUUGAAGAGGUCAAAACUUUACAUAGCAAUGAACCCACUAUUUUGGAUUUCAAGGAAUUUAAUUAUGAUAAUUGUUCUUUAAUAGAUUGUAUUUCCUUGUUGCAAUCCGUGUUAAAUUCUCCUAAUGCUUAUAGUCAAAAUAAAGCUUUUACUAAACAUAUCAUUGAUGCUUUAAUGCAAUCUUAUGAAGAAAAACUUGAACUAGAAGUGUCUAUCCCUAGAAAACUUCAUGAUGAGUGGGAACCUACUAUUAAAAUUAAAAUUAAAGAUCAUGAAUGUUAUGCUUUGUGUGAUUUGGGUGCUAGUGUUUCCAUGAUUCCAAAAACUUUGUGUGAUGGGUUAAGUUUUCGUGAAUUUGAUGAUUGCUCUUUAAACUUGCACCUUGCGGAUUCCACCAUUAAGAAACCUAUGGGAAGGAUUAAUGAUGUUCUUAUUGUUGCAAAUAGGAAUUAUGUGCCUGUAGAUUUUAUUGUUCUUGAUAUAGAUUGCAAUCUUUCAUGUCCUAUUAUUCUUGGUAGACCUUUCCUUAGAACAAUUGGUGCAAUUAUUGAUAUGAAAGAAGGAAAUAUUAGAUUCCAAUUUCCAUUAAGGAAAGGCAUAGAAAAAUUUCCUAAUAAGAAAAUCAAAUUACCUUAUGAAUCUAUUAUGAGAGCCACCUAUGAAUUGAAUACCAAAGAUGGCAAUACUUAG
rnacentral:rRNA from 1 species